GUGUUCACUUUGGCAGCACAUUUUUGAAAUUUAGAAUGAUACAGAGAAUAUUACCAUGGCCCUUGAGCAAGGAUAUCAAAUUAAAAAAAAGUUCCAUAUUUUU